ACGUACACUCCUGCGGGAGGCAGCAGUGGGGAAUAUUGCACAAUGGGCGCAAGCCUGAUGCAGCCAUGCCGCGUGUAUGAAGAAGGCCUUCGGGUUGUAAAGUACUUUCAGCGGGGAGGAAGGCAAUACGGUUAAUAACCGUGUUGAUUGACGUUACCCGCAGAAGAAGCACCGGCUAACUCCGUGCCAGCAGCCGCGGUAAUACGGAGGGUGCAAGCGUUAAUCGGAAUUACUGGGCGUAAAGCGCACGCAGGCGGUCUGUCAAGUCGGAUGUGAAAUCCCCGGGCUCAACCUGGGAACUGCAUUCGAAACUGGCAGGCUUGAGUCUUGUAGAGGGGGGUAGAAUUCCAGGUGUAGCGGUGAAAUGCGUAGAGAUCUGGAGGAAUACCGGUGGCGAAGGCGGCCCCCUGGACAAAGACCGACGCUCAGGUGCGAAAGCGUGGGGAGCAAACAGGAUUAGAUACCCCGGUAGUCCCAUGA
rnacentral:rRNA from 1 species